GUCAAAUGAAUUAAGGCUUACGGUGGAGACCUAGGCAUCCAGAGACGAAGAAGGGCGCAGAUACCGGCGAUACGCUUCGGGGAGCUGGCAACAAGCUUUGAUCCGGAGAUUCCCGAAUAGGGCAACCUCAAGCACUGCCUAUAUAAUUCAUAGUUAGGAAAGAGACAACCCGGUGAAUUGAAACAUCUUAGUAGCCGGAGGAAAAGAAAGCAAAAGCGAUUCCCCUAGUAGCGGCGAGCGAACUGGGAACAGCCUAAACCCAUGAAUAAUUCAUGGGUGUAGUGGGAGGACAUUAAUUAUUUUAACUUCGUUAAAAUAAUAAAUGAUGUUUUUACUGUGUAAAAACAACAUAAAAAAUUAAGUGCAAAAAAGUAAAGACGAAGCAGCUGAAUCCUGCACCAUAGAUGGUGAAAGUCCAGUAGUUUAAAACUUAAAUUUGUAAACCCAAGAAUUAAAUUCUAGGGUUGUUUUUUUAACAUCUUGUUUUUUAAGAUGAAUUAACAUCUUCGAUGUUAAUUAAUAAAGUAAAAAAACACAAACAACACUAACUUUGUCUAAUCCCGAGUAGCAUGGGACACGUGGAAUCCCGUGUGAAUCUGCGAGGACCACCUCGUAAGGCUAAAUACUCCUGGAUGAUCGAUAGCGAAAUAGUACCUUGCGGGAAUGGUGAAAUAGAACCCCCGUUGGGGAGUGAAAUAGAACAUGAAACCGUAAGCUGACAAGCAGUGGGAGGGUAAAUUUACCUGACCGCGUGCCUGUUGAAGAAUGAGCCGGCGACUUAUAGGGAGUGGCAGGGUUAAGAAAUAACAUUCGGAGCCCAAGCGAAAGCGAGUCUGAAUAGGGCAAAUUUAAAGUCACUUCCUAUGGACCCGAACCCGGAUGAUCUAACCAAGACCAGAUUGAAGCUUGGGUAACACCAAGUGGAGGAUCGAACCGACCGAUGUUGAAAAAUCGGCGGAUGAGUUUUGGUUCGCGCAGAAAUUGAAAUCGAAUUCGGAGCUAGCUGGUUCUCCCCGAAAUGCGUUGAGGCGCAGCGGUAACGAUGAGCUGUCUUUAGGGUAAAGCAUACUGUUUCGAUGCGGGCUGCGAAAGUGGUACCAAGUCGUGGCAAACUCAGAAUAUAAGGCAUAGCUUUCCGUUAACCAGUGAGACGGCGGGAGAGAAGUUUCGUCGUCAAGAGGGAAACAGCCCAGAUCACCAGCUAAGGCCCCUAAAUGGCCGCUAAGUGGAAAAGGAUGUGAGAAUGCUGAAACAACUAGGAGGUUUGCUUAGAAGCAGCCAUCCUUCAAAGAGUGCGUAAUAGCUCACUAGUUUAGCGUUCUUGCGCCGACAAUGGCCGGGACUAAGCGGCCUGCCGAAGCUGUGGGAUUUUGACAAAUCGGUAGGGGAGCGUUCUGCUUCGGGUGAAGUUUUCACGUAAGUGGGGGUGGACGAAGCGGAAGUGAGAAUGUCGGCUUGAGUAACGAAAACAUUGGUGAGAAUCCAAUGCUCCGAAAACCGUUGGGUUCCUCCACAAGGUUCGUCCGAGGAGGGUGAGUCAAGACCUAAGAUUAGGCUUAAAAAAUUAAGCGUCGUCGAUGGAAAACAGGUUAAUAUUCCUGUACUGAUUUUUGUGGGUACCGAGGGACGAAGCAGGCUAAACUAGGACUGCUAAUGGAUUACAGUGGAAGCGUUCGAGGUGAAGACAGGUAGAAUAAAAACUAUCCUGGAGCUAAGUCGUUAUCCCAUUUUGUGGAAUUUAUUUCAUAGAAUGCUAGCUAUGUCAUACUUCCAAGAAAAGCUCGUACACCUCUUUUUUAGAUAAAACACAAAAAUUACUUGUACCUGAAACCGACACAGGUAGGUGGGUAGAGAAUACCUAGGGGCGCGAGACAACUCUCUCUAAGGAACUCGGCAAAUUGGCCUCGUAACUUCGGAAGAAGAGGCGCCUUAUUUUUUAUAAGGUCGCAGUGACCAGGCCCAGGCGACUGUUUAUCAAAAACACAGGUCUCCGCUAAGUCGUAAGACAAUAUAUGGGGGCUGACGCCUGCCCAGUGCCGGAAAGUAAAGGAAGUUGGUUAUGAAUUUUUAUUCAGAAGCUGACGACCGAAGCCCCGGUGAACGGCGGCUGUAACUAUAACAGUCCUAAGGUAGCGAAAUUCAUUGUCGAGUAAGUUUCGACCUGCACGAAAGGCGUAACGAUCUGGGCACUGUCUCAGAGAGAGACUCGGUGAAAUAGACUUGUCCGUGAAGAUGCGGACUACCUAAACCUGGACAGAAAGACCCUAUGAAGCUUGACUGUAUCCUGGAAUUGGGUUCGGGCUCUUUUUGCGCAGUCUAGGUGGGAGGCUUUGAAGGUUCCUUUCCGGGGGAACUGGAGCCAUUAUUGAGAGACCACUCUGGAAGAGCUAGAAUCCUAAUGGUGAUCCUUGAAUCAGGACGCUUGACAGUUUCAGGUGGGCAGUUUAUUUGGGGCGAAUGCCUCCUAAAAGGUAACGGAGGCGUGCAAAGGUUCCCUCAGUCUGGACGGAAAUCAGACGUGGAGUGUAAAGGCAGAAGGGAGCUUGACUGCAAGACCGACCAGUCGAGCAGGGGCGAAAGCCGGCCUUAGUGAUCCGACGGUGCCGUGUGGAAGGGCCGUCGCUCAACGAAUAAAAGUUACUCUAGGGAUAACAGGCUGAUCUUCCCCAAGAGUUCACAUCGACGGGAAGGUUUGGCACCUCGAUGUCGGCUCAUCACAGCUCGGAGGGGUAGUACCUUCCAAGAGUUGGGCUGUUCGCCCAUUAAAGUGGUACGUGAGCUGGGUUCAGAACGUCGUAAGACAGUUCGGUCCAUAUCCGGUUUAGGCGUAAGAGCAUUGAGAGGAUCCUUCUCUAGUACGAGAGGACCUUGAAGGACAUACCUAUGGUGUACCAGUUCUUCCGCCAGGAGGAAACGCUGGGUAGCUACGUAUGGAGUGGAUAACCGCUGAAAGCAUCUAAGUGGGAAGCCCACCUCAAGAUGAGUGCUCUCUAUUAGGCCACGGGAAGACUACCCGAUUGAUAGGAAUAUAGUGCAAGACUAGUAAUAGUUUCAGCUUAGAUUUACUAAAGGCCGAUUGAUUUUGAC
rnacentral:rRNA from 1 species